rnacentral:misc_RNA from 2 species
UGUGGGAGCGAGCUUGCUCGCGAUAGCGUCAGAUCAACCAGUAUUCAUUUGACUGGCACACCGCUAUCGCGAGCAAGCUCGCUCCCACA